CAGGGAGACAACAAAAUGUAAAUAUUAAUUUUGUCACCUUAGGUCGAUCGGUAUCUCAGAUUCUUAUUUUUUAAGAAUUUCAGUUUCUAAGUUUUUUCUAGGUCACACCCAUCACUUUUUCCUGGGCCAUUAGCUCAGGUGGUUAGAGCGCACCCCUGAUAAGGGUGAGGUCCCUGGUUCAAGUCCAGGAUGGCCCAUACAUAUCUCUAUGUUGGGGGUAUAGCUCAGUUGGUGGAGCGCCUGCUUUGCAAGCAGGAUGUCAGCGGUUCGAGUCCGCUUACCUCCACUGAAUACCACCUCUUACGUAUACUUAAAGAGGGAAAUUGUUUUGAGUCGUGUCCUAUUUUGCUCUGAGCGAAUCUAGCUUCCUAUUUUAUUAAAUAAAUAAGAUGCUGGACUCAUUGAAUUUUUUUCAUUGUUUUCAGAGAACCUUGACAACUGCAUAGAUUAUUUUUGAAGACAAUAAGCAUCUUUAAUGAUGCAGAUUUAUUAUUUGUGCGAAUGCAUUAAAUAACAAUUCUAUUAAGCUGAUGCUUCAAUUAUUGAAGUUAUU
rnacentral:tRNA from 1 species